AAUGAACGCUGGCGGCGCGCCCAAUACAUGCAAGUCGAGCGAGAAGACGUAGCAAUACGUUUGUAAAGCGGCGAACGGGUGAGGAAUACAUGGGUAACCUACCCUCGAGUGGGGAAUAACUAGCCGAAAGGUUAGCUGAUACCGCGUACGCUUCUUGGACUUCGGUUCAGGGAGGAAAGCGAUGCCGAGGGUAUCGCGCUCUUGGAUGGGCUCAUGUCCUAUCAGCUUGNGGUGAGGUAACGGCUCACCAAGGCUUCGACGGGUANCUGGUCUGAGAGGACGAUCAGCCACACUGGCACUGCGACACGGGCCAG
rnacentral:rRNA from 1 species